UGGGGAAUUUUGGACAAUGGGCGAAAGCCUGAUCCAGCAAUGCCGCGUGUGUGAAGAAGGCCUUCGGGUUGUAAAGCACUUUUGUCCGGAAAGAAAUCCUUGGCUCUAAUACAGUCGGGGGAUGACGGUACCGGAAGAAUAAGCACCGGCUAACUACGUGCCAGCAGCCGCGGUAAUACGUAGGGUGCAAGCGUUAAUCGGAAUUACUGGGCGUAAAGCGUGCGCAGGCGGUUUGCUAAAGACCGAUGUGAAGUCCCCGGGCUCAACCUGGGAACUGCAUUGGUGACUGGCAGGCUAGAGUAUGGCAGAGGGGGGUAGAAUUCCACGUGUAGCAGUGAAAUGCGUAGAGAUGUGGAGGAAUACCGAUGGCGAAGGCAGCCCCCUGGGCCAAUACUGACGCUCAUGCACGAAAAGCGUGGGGAGCAAAACAGGAUUAGAUACCCUGGUAGUCCACGCCCCUAAAACGAUGUCAACUAGUUGUUGGGGGAUUCAUUUCCUUAGUAACGUAGCUAACGCGUGAAGUUGACCGCCUGGGGAGUACGGUCGCAAGAUUAAAAACUCAAAUGAAUUGACGGGGUCAUAGCUGUUUCCU
rnacentral:rRNA from 1 species